rnacentral:lncRNA from 1 species
CCUGAAAUUAAUUAUCUCAGUUGUAAAAUUCGCUGUUGUUUAAGAAAUGACUGAGAUGUAACUUGCUCUGUAUGGGUAAAUCAAUGUUUUAGAGUAUGUUCGGCUAUGUCUAACAAAAAUUUAAAGUAUUUUUCCUGAAAGUAUAUAAAUUGUAUAACUAAAAAUUUUAUAUUCUUAGUUAUCUCGGACUUAUUUUGCAAAAAAGGAAAUUGCUUGAAAAGAAACUUAAGCUUUGCCAACAUGCUCUUAAUCAGCACCUAAUGCUCUAUAUUGCUCAACUGGUCUAUCUGGUGGUGUUUGCUCACUUUUAUAUCAUCCUUUUUUACUUCUUGGAACUGUCUUUUCUUGGACUCUUAUAAUUGUGCCAUUAUUAUCUUUAGAGAAAAUGAAACAAGAGAUUUCUGAAAUUCAAGCUGCUUUGGAUUAUGCUGAUGUUUUUGUAAUGCAAAAGCUUCCUACCUUGAUCUUGUUAUGAGUUUCCUCUCAGUACUAACCUAAAAUGAGUUGUAUUUUCCCAGAUUAGAAAAUGGACCUUGAGGCAAGAAGCUUGCAGCAAAGCUUGAAGGCUACACUACUUGCUAAGCUCAGGGAAUAUAAAUCUGAUCUGAAUAAGAUGAAAAGGGAAUUGAAAAAAAUAACUUUGCCUAAGUCAAACGUUCUGGCCAUGAAGAGUUGUUAGAAUCUGGAAUGGCUGGUGCAAAUUCGGUAUGCGUGCAUUCAAUUUCCCUGUUGAUUUUUUUUGUCCUUAAUAUAUAAGGUAUGUAUAUAUUGCAUGGAGAACUGCAAUUAGCUUUGACGAUGUAGCAUCAUCUAGCCUCACUGGAGAUAAUUCAUCUGUGUCUGGUUGCAUGAUGAGUGGAUGCUUAUAUUUUACUAUUAAUAGAGCCGUGUAAAAAUUCUCCUUGUGCAUUAUUUUAUUUAAAAGAAAAUUUAAUAUUGGGAUUCAGCAUCUUUUAUGGUUUUUGGUUUUCAACUCCUGGAAAAACUU